rnacentral:rRNA from 1 species
CCUACGGGUGACAGCAGUGAGGAAUAUUGGUCAAUGGACGCAAGUCUGAACCAGCCAUGCCGCGUGCAGGAAGACGGCUCUAUGAGUUGUAAACUGCUUUUGUACGAGGGUAAACGCAGAUCAGCGUAUCUGUCUGAAAGUAUCGUACGAAUAAGGAUCGGCUAACUCCGUGCCAUCAGCCGCGGGAAUACGGAGGAUUCAAGCGUUAACCGGCUUUAUUGGGUUUAAAGGGUUCGUAGGCGGUCGGAUAAGUUAGAGGUGAAAUCCCGAGGCUCAACUUCGGAAUUGCCUCUGAUACGAUGCGGCUAGAGAGUGAUUGCGGUAUGCGGAAUGUAUGGUGUAGCGGUGAUAUGCGUAGAGAUCAUACAGAACACCGAGUGCGAAGGCAGCUUACCAAGCUACUUCUGACGUUGAGGAACGAAAGCGUGGGGAGCAAACAGGAUUAGAUACCCUGGUAGUC